UCGUAUACCUAAUUUUAUAUAAGGUUGAGCAACUGCAUAAGAUUUCAAUUUAGAUUUUCGAACAUUUGGUUUGUCGUGUGUGUAGUACCUUUGUUCAUUGUGGAGUUGGUGAUUGACUCUUAUUGUCUGUGUGCAUCUAGCCUGGUGUAUGAUCCAUAUCAAAAUCAAAUUUCGAGACAAAUGCGGCUGAAAGUUUUAUAAACGAAGUGAAGAGCUUGCAAGUGCACCUGUGGAAAAUUUAGAGCAAUGCAGAAGGUAAUGUUUUUUUUCUUUUGCUAAAUGCAGAAGGUAAUGUUGUGGCAGUAUCUAAUGGAAGUACUACUUUGGUGCCCAAAUCCUCCAUUGCGCGUAGUUUCAAAAUUGUCCAGUUUGCUGUAUUUUCUACCCAUGUGGCCUCUUUCAACAUAGCAGUCACUUGGUUUACCCUUUGCGAGUAUUCAAUCGUUUUCUAUUCCGGAACCAGUUUAUCGAAAAGUUGCACAUAAGUAAGGUAUUACCGCAGCAGUGUUGUUUAUUGAUUUAUUGUUUUGUGGGAUACCUGCGCAGCGGCCGCAGUGUUCUGAAUCUAAAUAGUUAAGUCUGGUUUUUAAUCACAUGGGAUAGCUCUUCGUGUAUAUUUCAUGUUGCUCGAUGUUGCCUUACUUUCACAUGAUGCCUUGAGAUCUGCUGUAAGCUAUCUCUUCGCGAGGCUUGUGAUAACCUCUAUACCUUCACAAAAUGUGGUCGACAUAUUGGUGUUUUAUUUGGAGUUAGUGAUUAUGAACUAUAUAAGUGGCAGGUUGUCGAGGCUUAUUGUUGAAUCAUAUUUCUAUUAUCUAUAACAAACAUGAAGAGAGGUAGGGGAAAAUAAGGUUUAAGGGCAGAAAACUCCAGCAAAAGUUCUUGCGAACAAUAAUACAAUAUUCCGAUAUGAUAAACUCUGAAUAAAUUACAAGAUAAUAUCCUAUAUACAUAAUAAUAAAAAAAAUCUUAAGUACUUCCUAAUACAGAUCAAAUUCUAAUGACUAAUAUAGUUAUGGAAUAUCAUCCUAGAUUAAUAUUAAACUUACUAAACUAUAUACUUGGGCUUCCAAAGCCUUCUAUAUUGUUCCCAAAUGGUUUAUUUUGGCUUUUUACCUUUUUUCCUACAUCAAAACAUGAUUAAUAUUUCAAGUAAGGGAUAGUAGAGUGGAGCACAUCAGUUUGAAGUUUAAUUGUCUUUGACUAUUUAAACUGGAAAAUCAAUCUCUCUACUGUAUAUUCUCAUCUACAACAUGAUUAAUUUUACUCGAUGUAAUAGUCUCUGAACACCUUUAGGAUGCUUGAAGAAAUGACGCAUCCAGCAGCAAUAACUAAACAUCUCCACUGCCUUGCUUUAAGGCUAGCGAAUGAACAUAAUUCAUGCAAAUGCACCCAUUUAGCUCCCCCCUCGCCAGAACUAUUUACAUGGGUAAGGAAAGAGAUGCGGAAAAAAAUAUGGUAUCAGAUGAGAGAAAAGGGAGUGAAGAAUUAACCUGGAUAUGGAUGUAGGUGGAUAGAAGUCAAUAACGAAAUGUUUUUAUUGCAAAAGAUAAUAUGUUCAUUUCUAUUUCUUUUAAGUGCUGAAGGUUACGGUUUUAAAAAAAAAUUAUAUCUUCUUAUAUUUCAACAACAAAUACAAAAUAAAAAGAUCUAAAAAUUAUAUCAAAAACCAAAUUCAAAAUAAAUGGAUCCAAAAAUUAUAUAUCAUAAAGAUCUUUUAAAUUAUUUUACAUUUUAUUUUUCUUUCAAUCGCGCGGAGCGCGUUUUUUUACCUAGUUUGACAAUGAAGAUUGCCGUAAUACACUUAUUAGCAACUUUCGUGAAGAAAGAUAUAUUUGAUCCGGGUUCUUCAUACAUAUUCUUUCAAAACCAAAAAUCAGCCUUGAUCGUUUAAAUUUUUUCUAAAACAUCAAUAUACUUAUAUAAAAGAGACGCGAGGGGCGUGUAGGUGGCGCCUCUCACAUCGCUCCGUUCUAUUUUUUUAAUUUUCUGAAAUUUUUGGAUGAAAAAUAUUUUCGGAUAUAUUAGAAGCAAGUUUCAGAAUCUGAUUUUGUUUCGAAUUAUAUAUGGAAUAUAGUAGCGUGAAAGUUUUAAUCUGAUUUUGUUUCAGAUUAUUUAAGUAUGGGAAAGAGUAGCACAUACUUAUAUAAAGGAGAAGCGAGGGGCGUAUAGGUGGCGCCUCUCACAUCGCUCCGUUCUAUUUUUCUAAUUUUCUGGAAUUUUUGGAUGAAAAAUAUUUUCGGAUAUAUUAGAAGCAAGUUUCAGAAUCUGAUUUUGUUUCAAAUUAUUUAUGGAAUAUAGUAGCUUGAAAGUUUUAAUCUGAUUUUGUUUCAGAUUAUUUAAUUAUCAGAAAGAGUAGCACACAAGUUUUUCUGCACCUAUAAAUAGCACACAAGUCUUUCUGCACCUAUAAAUACCCUUAUAGAUUAUAGGGUUUUGGAUCAUCCAAACACAACUUCCUCUCUCUCAAUACCACAACCCUACCUCUUUCUGGUGAUAGUUAUGUUGCUCGAUUUCUAACUCGGAGGUGCCGUUCUUCUGCAACAAGUGAAGGCUGUUUACAGUAUUAAAAAAAAUAAAGGCUGUUGCAAUCAAAGGUAGUUAUAGACCGUUAUAUUGGAGUCGACAAAUCCAAACACGGGAAAAGAAUAUAGUAUUGGCAUGAUAUUGAUGGUUGAUAUCAAUAAAUUAACUAUUAGUGAUGUAUGUUUGUUGGUUAUUCUCUUAUAAUAUUUGUUUUGUUCAUCUGACAUGUUUGUUUUUGUUAAUUUUUAUAUGAUUUACUUUGUAUACAGGAAAAAAUUAUUCAUGCAUUAUCUGUUUGCUCCGUUCAAGCAACUUUUAAGAAGGUAGUUAUAGACCGCUAUCUCACAGAUUUAAGUUAGAUAUUUUUGUGCGCAGUCAAUCCAAAAAAAUUGGAGGAAGGUGACAAUGUAAGAACAUGAUUACUUUUCAAAAAUAAAAAUAAAUAAAAUUAAGAUUCGUCAUGCUUUAAAUUGUUAAUUACGUAUUUUCAUUUUUUCACCAUGAAUUAUAGUCCAAUUUUGCAAUUUUAUAUAUUAGUAUUGGUAUUACAUCAAGAUUUUUAUAAUAUAAAUUUAUUUUAUCCUACAAAUAUUAAGUUUGAAACAUUAAUAUACUUUUUGUAGACAACCACAAAAUUAUUUUAUUCUACAAAUAUUAAUAUUGAAUCAUUAAUAUAAUUUUUAUAGGCCGCCGCAACGCGCGGCUUCUCAACUAGUUUAAAAAUAAAAAUAAACUUGAACAAAUCUAAAUAUUAACCACCACCGACAAGAGUUAGGCGUAAAUGUAAUUCAGCGACGGUUCGAAGAGUUGAACACUUGUCGGUUCGGGGGCAAGAGAAAGAGAGGUCGGCACCGUCCCACGUGGUCUGAUCAAUUAAGUUUGGACUGAGAGCCCUAAAUUUUACAGGGAUAUGACAUUUGAUAAGAAUGAUUGGCGAUGGCGUAUUAGAGUAGUUGAGACUCGAUCUCGUGGUUUACAGAGGUUUUGAGUGUUGGGGUGUUAUGCUUUAGGAAGAGGUUUGCAUCAAUCUCUUUUCUCACACGCCUUUAUCCUUGCAAUUCGUGAAAGGGAUGGUUCCUGAUUUCUUCAAUUGUUUCCUCCACCGGACUUUGCCACCGCUGAUGGGUAAUAUUUCGGUAAGUCUCAUGUGAAGAAGGCCAUGAGCUAAGGUAUUGUAGUAAUAUUGUAUCGCACAUCCUUUUAAUUAUUGUGCACUAAGCCGGGGUUCUUCACGGAAACAGCCUUUCUACUUUAAAGGUAGGGGCAGGGUUGCGUAUAUUUUACCCUUCUCAGACCCUACUUACUUUAAGCGGGAAUACCGACUAGGUAUGGUAAUGUAUGGUACCAACAAAAUUCAACCACAUUUAAACGUUUUUAAAACAUCUAAAAUAACUUGUACAAUUCUAAAUAAUUACCGUCACAUGGACACUAGUUUGGAGAUACUUCAUCCGUGUUUCUUAACUAUUUUACUUUUGAGAUAGAGAACUUGGCAUGAAUAUUAUAUAAAUAUUAUUUUUUAAAUUAUUUCUUUUUUCUAAAUAAAAAUUAAUUUCAAAGUAUUAAAUAUGAACUGAAGAAAUUAUACAUUAUAUAUAUCUUAAGAUACAUGUAAAGACACGAAAGAAAGUAAGAAAACAAGAGGAACAUAGCAAUGUUUUACUUUGAUAAUGGAGAAUAAAAUAUGUGAUUGCUCAGCGAACACCCAAACUAGGAUACACGCGAUGUCCAAUAUUAGCCAGGUUCAUUUUAGAAUCCAACAAAAUAAGGUUUUUCUGCACUUAAUUUAAUUUACUGAAAUACGUACAAAUAUUAGACAUAAAUCAGCCUCCUAUUUUUAUCUGACUUUUGAAUACAUUUGUUCAAAUUUUAUUUUGAAUGAUUAUGUUUUGUAUCAUAAUAAUCAAUCAUGUAUCAGAAUUCUUUUCGUUCUACAAAGAUUAUCAACUUGUUUGAGUCGGACAAUAAUAUUGGGGCCGUUUGGGUUAGCUUAAAAGAAGUGACUUCUUCGUUAUAGUAAAGAAGUGGAGUAGAAGUGAGAAGUAAAUAAGUUAAUAAAGUGUUUGGAAAAGAAGCAGAAGCUGUGAGAGAGAAGCUAGCAUUCUCAGCUUCUUAAAAGUGCUUCUACUUCUUUGCACAAACGGGUCAAGAGAAGCAGAAGUCAGAAGUAGAUUUUGAUUCUCUUGGCCAAACAGGCCCAUUAUCUCGAUCGAAUAAAAAAGUUCUAUGGGAAAAUAGUAAACAAGAGACAAGCUUGUCUCCUAGCGAAGCUUCACAUGAUUCCGACAAAAGAGACACCUUUGUAAACUUAAUGUGUACUGCAUCACUACACUCUAAAAAUCUUGCACAAUAUUGGUAAAGUUAAAGCAAACAAUCGUGAAUUAUCAUGUUAUAUGAAUUUGUUGAUAGAAUUGAAUUAUUUUUGCCAAUCAUAUUAUAAAUAUAUAGAUUGCACGAAAAACAACGACUUGAAAUAAUAUAAAAAAAAUUGCAUGGAUGGUAGAAGAAGAGUCCACGUCUUCGUGGGCCAAAACCUCGUACACCACCAAUUAUAAAAUCAUAUCUACAAGGAGCAUCUUGUUUAUGUUUGCCGACAUUAUUAUUCGUUUCCACCCAUGUAAUAUAUUCAGCCCGUCAUGUACUCAGUACUCUGGUCAUAAAGCCUUUUCUUCUGUUUCUUCACUAAUCAGUGUCAUAUUCUCGGACCAAUUUUUCUUAAAAUUUUAGUUAAUUAUUAAUAGUUCUAAAAAUUGGGAAUUUACAUUAUAAAUGAACUAGAUAUAUUUUAUGAUAAUAUAAUUUUUAAUUUUUCAAUCAAAUAAUAUAUAUAUAUAAAUUUUAA